GGGGAAGAUGUUUCUCAGCAACAGUGCUACCCUGCUGGACAGCUGGUGAUUUUUACCAUAAAACAAGAUAGUAAUAAGGAUAGAAUGAGACACCACCGGCUUUGCUCCAUCCCUUUGGGAAGACAGCACACCCAGAGCUCAAGUCUGCUGCUCAUUCUGGAAGGGGAGAUGUCCUGGGCCCAGGGUUUGGAAAUGUCUUCUUGGACAAGCUUAAGCCGCUCGUGCAUAUCUCUUCUACACUCAAUCAGCAUCUCUAGAGGAGGUGCCAGCUCUCUCAACAAGUAAUUCCUUUUGGCCCCAUCACAGAAGGGAAGUACAAUCAACAGCAAUGAAGCUUCUUUAUUCCUUGCUAAUUUAGUGCCACGACACAUGAUAUGCACAGCUUUGUGAGUGGGAGGGUUUCAAAGCAGGAAGCUUUGGAUCUGACUUAGGGAGGCUGGUUAUCCACUUACGAUACUUGACUUAGCAGAAGCCAGUCUUUGUGAAAGCUGUUAUGGGGCCCCCUGCUGGCAUUGUGACAUGGAGACACUUCAUCUUCAGUGAACCUACAGUUCCCUCUGGGAAGCUUCAAGUUCAACAGGGCUGUGGACUUGCAGAGAUUCUUGCUGUAGGCUAGGAAAGUAGAUUGUAGUACUAGUACUACUGCUAGUACUACGUUUUCUACUAUCUUUGGGUUUCUUGGGCCACUUUGAAACUCUAACCACAGUGUUUUCAAACUUGCAAUGGUAAAAUGCAUUGUAAAUAAAAAUUUUAACU
rnacentral:lncRNA from 1 species